rnacentral:sRNA from 1 species
GCCGGGCAUAGUGACGUGUGCCUGUAGUUCCAGCUACUUGGGAGGCUGAGGCAGGAGGAUCACUUAAGCCCAGGAAUUCAAGACUGCAGUGAGCUGUGAUUGCACCACUGCACUCAAGCCUGGGUGACAGAGUGAGAGCCUAUCUCUG